rnacentral:lncRNA from 1 species
GGUAAUAUGCAUGUUAUUCUGUCUCAAGGACAGAAGUACGGCAUUGACAUCAGUAGUUUUAGGCAGACAUAAAAUAGCAUCUGAACUUGUACCCAAAUUCAUGUUACACAUUUGUUGAUUACGAGCAGCCUUUUAUAUACCCAACCUUUUAAAAGUAUGUCAAAUACACACUACUUUUUCCUUGACCAAUUUUUCAAAACAUGUGUGAUUUCACCCCCAAUAAGAUAGUGACACGUGUCACUAUUUUUAUUAAAAAACAAAACACUUAAAAUUACACUUACACCCCUUAAUCAUCUUCUUCAUUUCAUAUCUUUCUCCAUGGAGAGAUUGACGCCAGACACCACCAAAAUUCACAUAAAAUCACCUUCAUAUUAUAAAGCAAAAUUAGAAAUUCAAGUACAUUAAUCACGAGUUUGUGAGUCUAGAUUUAAAUCUGACACAAAAAAUAUAAUGCAAAACUCAAAACUCCAUUAAAGUUGGUUAUGGCCAAAUCCAUGGUUACUCCAUUCGCGUUCAUCUUCUUCAGUAAAAAAAUUAAGUAUUUUGACAGUUCAUUAUGACCAGAAUCUGUGAAAUUAUUCAGUGCAAAUAAGCAACCAAAGUGAUGAAAGCGCAAGCAAGAAAGAACAACUUUAUAAAAAUUACCUGUAAAUAACAAAUAGAAUCAAUUGAUUCUCGGCAUCUUUUGCUCAUCUCUGAUAUCCCUCAAAACCAAAUUAAUAUUCAAAUACAUUAAAUUUGUAUUCUUAAAUUGUUACCACUAAAUUACAAUUCAAACCUCAAUUUAAAAGAUUCUCCUAGAUAUAGAUUACUUUUAAUUCUUUUUAUCAAUUUCUUCUGAAACCUUUUUAUAUUAUUGUUAUUCUUAAAAUGAUAGACUAGAAAGAUACAGAAAUGGGGUGGGGAAGAAGACGAAAAUUGGCGAAGGGAGAACGUCAGUAACAAACUAAUAGGGGCGGAGUUCUGGGAAAAAGAACAAGGAAGUGUGAGUUAAAGUGAAGGAAAACAAAAUAAUUUUAAAAAGCAAAAAUUUAAAAUUUUGACACGCGUCCUUUAAGUAAGAAUUGUGAUAACAAUUUCUACAGUUUAACGGAAAAGGAAUAAUUUAUCCAUUGUUGCAAGAGCUGGUUGUUUGUUUAAGCUAUUGACGAAGAAGAUGAUGUUUUUAAUUAAAAACUAAAAAAAUGGACAUGUGUCAGUUACACACGAGAGUUCACAGAUUUCUUUUCCUAUUUACUCGCCUAAUUUGUGUGUAAAAUACGCUCUUGCCAUGUAAUCAAAAUGGUAUGUAACUGACACAUUUUAAAAGGUUGGGUGUGUAAAAUAUUGGCCGUAAUCAACAAAUGUAUAACAUGGAUUUGGAUACAAAUUCAUGUGCUAUUUUAUGCAUUCUGCCCUAAAAAUACUAUAGUACCAUCUUACAUGCUCACAAGGGCAAGUUACAUGUCUUAAAAAGGGGACAGAAGUACGGCAUUGACAUCAGUAGUUCCUAAAAUACUAUAGUACCACCUUACAUGCUCACAUAGGCAAGUUACAUGUCUUAAAAAGGGGUCAAUUGAUCACCUUUCGUCCAAAAAUUAUAGUGCAUAUAUUGGUAAAAUAUUAGGUUUUAUAGGUAUAUAAAAUAUACUAAACACCAAUUAUAGUGAUUUAUAUUUUUUUUCCUUUUUUCAAGUUUCAACACUCUUAAAAUAAAUUUCUGAUUUCGCAAGUACAUUCUCAUGAUUUCCACAUCAUUGAAACAGUGUUAAACAAAAGGAAGGAAUCAAAAUUUAUAGUACUAUUUCACGUCCUUAGCCUUAAACUAAGUGCACGUGCGCCACUUGACAACUCACUCACGAUCUUGCACAACUUGCUCACAUUCUUGCUAUGCCAAGUCAGUCUUACUACACUCAAGAUCGUUAAGAAAUGCUAGAACACAUGAGAAUUGCUAAAGGAAGCUUUUGUAGUAGAGAGAACUUGAAUUGAGAAUUGCUAAAGGAAGCUUUUGUAGUAGAGAGAACUGGAAUUGUUUGCUUGGUUAAUGAAUUACAAAUGAACGCCCCUAUUUAUACUAAUCACCUAGGGGCUAGUAUGUAAAUAAUACUUGUUCUACAAGUCCUUCCAUAUUUACAAAUAAGUCAUUCUCUAGAAUAUUCUACAUAGCUAGAAUCUUCUAAGUAUUUUUCGAAAAAUUCAAUCGGGUUCUAGGGUCUUCCUAAGGAAACCUCUAUAUUUCUCUAGAACUUUCCUACAAGUGCAUAAAUAUCUAGAACAUUUCUAAGGAAAUUCUCCAUAUGUGGCAGGUCAUAACACUCUCCCCCACCCAAUUUUGUGCCGCCCUCGGCACAAAGCAUCGACACGUACGCUCGCACUUCGCCUUGGUGUCAUUGGAAAUCUUUGUCCAUUAGCUAUGAUACCCUAUCAAGUGGUUCUCCUUCCCAUUUCACAAGGACUAGCCACGUUUCUUCUUACAACGUUUGAACUUUGGACGGUUGGCAGUGAUGGCCUCGAUCAUCUGCCCAUCGGAUGCCCCUCCUUGCUUUUGGCCUAAAUUUUUCCAUGACUCAACCAAGUCUAGCAGCUUCUCAAGCAUCAGGUUCGUGUUUCCACUCCCUAUUUGACUGUCCUCCGUGUCACAACCUUGUUGGCAAAAAUGACCCCUCUUCUUGGUGCAUCGUCAGAGUCUGAUAGCAUACAAUCACUUUGUAACUCGCCAUCCUUGCAGUUUCUCCUAUGUCACCCUUAUGUGCUUGAGCAAAGUUCUCUAUCAUUGCUGCAAGCUUCCCCGAUUCUGGGCAUUCACUCGCCCGAUGUGAUCCUUCACAAAAGUAGCACCCUCCAUUAGGCACGUACUCCCUACCAUUUUCCAGCCCCUUGCCGUUUCUCUUGGACCCCUGUCCGUUAUGGGAUGGCCCCUUGCCAUUACCCUUGUAUACCUCGGUUAUGCAUUUCCCGCUGUCCUCAUCAUGAUCUCCCUCAUCCCUCUCGGCGUUGCCUUCUUUGGAAUUGGCAGGCUCCAUCUUAAAGUCAACAAGUGAAUAGGCUACUCCGAUGGCCCCGUUCAUGUUGACUACUUGAUGUCUUCUUAACUUCCGCUUCGCCUAAUUUUGCAACCCAUCCAUGAAGUAGAAGAGAAAAUAUUCCUCGAGACAAUGACGAGAUUUGCAACGUUAAGGUACUGAACUCGCGCACAUAUUCCGGAAUUGUGGCCUCUAUCGGAGCUCCCGUAGUUUCCAUCAGUCUGCCACCUCGCGUGCAGCCCAUGCACCAACAUACUGCUUUCGCUUAGGGACCUUCGCGUUGAUCCCUUUUGCAAGUACCAAGCCCUUGGUAAUUCCGGCCUUGGUUCCCUACAAAACUUCCUUCUAACAAUCUCUCAUAUCUUUUCUAAUAUUCCUUAGUCAUAACAUUUGCUCUGAUACCAUGUUGUCACAUCCUUAGCCUUAAACUAAGCGCACAUGCGACACUAGGCAGCUCACUCACGAUCUUGCACAACUUGCUCACGUUUCAGCCUUACUACAUUUAAGAUCGCUAAGAAAUGCUAGAACACUGAGAAUUUCUAAAGGAAGCUUUUAUAGUAGAGAGAACUUGAAUUGUUUGCUCGGUUGAUGAAUUACAAAUUAAUGCCCCUUAUUUAUACUAAUCCCUUAGGGGCUAGUAUGUAAAUAAUAAUCAAGUCCUUCCAUAUUUACAAAUAAAUCAUUCUCUAGAAUAUUCUACCUAGCUAGAAUCUUCUAAGGAUUUUCCUAACAAUUCUAUAGUGUUUUAGAUCUUGCAAAGAAAACCUCUAUAUUUUUCUAAAACCUUUCUACAAGUGCAUAAAUAUUUAGAACAUUUUGAAGAAAAUUCUCCAUAUUUCUAGAAUAUUGCACCAAGAUCUAGUCUUUAAUUUAUGUAACCAGUCUAUAUGACAAAAAUGUAUGCCAAGUAACGCCUACGUGUCAUGAUAAUGUGACGGGUCAUGACAACUAGCUAAAUAAACAAGGAAGGAAUCAAAAAUCAUGAACGAGAAGAUUAAUAAAUGAGAAAAGAUUUAGGUAGGAAGACAUAAGACAAGUCAAAAGCAGCAAAAAUUCAACAACAAAUCCUAACCACAGAAAAGGCAUUAGAUUAUGAGGACAAUAGUAAUGGAGACGUAGUACGUAUUUUGAACAUUCUCAAUUACCCAAUAUAGAAAGGAUUCCAUUAAACAAGCCGAAUAAUCAAAGACAAAUUAAUUAACCAAUUGAAAUUCAGACAGACAGUAGUACGUACCAUUUGUUGGAAGAGUCAUCAAUGGGGACAGUUAUCGACUCCCAUUUCUUGGGACUAACCAUUGUUACAGUAACCACCUCCUUCCUUUUUCUUCAUUCUUUCUUCCUUUACACACAAAGAAAAUCUCUCUAAUUUAUU